CACCCGAACGUUGAGUUGGGAAGCGAAGUCAACAGAUACCUUAAGGAUACGUCCUAGUGGUAGGGGAGCGUUCUGUAAGCCGUUGAAGGUGAGUUGUAAAGCUUGCUGGAGGUAUCAGAAGUGCGAAUGCUGACAUGAGUAACGAUAAGGGGAGUGAAAAACUCCCCCGCCGAAAGACCAAGGUUUCCUGUCCCAUGUUAAUCAGGGCAGGGUAAGUCGGCCCCUAAGGCGAGACCGAAAGGUGUAGUCGAUGGGAAACAGAUUAAUAUUUCUGUACUUCUAUAUAUUGCGAAGGAGGGACGGAGUAGGCUAGGUGAGCACGGCGUUGGUAGUCCGUGUGAAAGUAUGUAGGCUGGAAACUUAGGUAAAUCCGGGUAUCCUUAAGGCUGAGAUACGAGACGAGUGUCCAAGGACACGAAGUCAUUGAUGCCAUGCUUCCAGGAAAAGCUUCUAAGCGUCAGAUAUAUAGGAACCGUACCCCAAACCGACACAGGUGGUUAGGUAGAGAAUACUAAGGCGCUUGAGAGAACUCGGGUGAAGGAACUAGGCAAAAUAGUACCGUAACUUCGGGAGAAGGUACGCUCUCUAAUGUGAAGCACUUGCUGCGUAAGCAUCGGAGAGUCGAAGUAACCAGGUGGCUGGAACUGUUUAUUAAAAACACAGCACUGUGCAAAAUCGAAAGAUGACGUAUACGGUGUGACGCCUGCCCGGUGCCGGAAGGUUAAUUGAUUGGGUUAGCUUCGGCGAAGCUCAUGAUCGAAGCCCCGGUAAACGGCGGCCGUAACUAUAACGGUCCUAAGGUAGCGAAAUUCCUUGUCGGGUAAGUUCCGACCUGCACGAAUGGCGUAAUCAUGGCCACACUGUCUCCACCCGAGACUCAGUGAAAUUGAAUUUGCGGUUAAGAUGCCGUAUACCCGCGGCUAGACGGAAAGACCCCGUGAACCUUUACUAUAGCUUGACAGUGAACAUUGCUCCUACAUGUGUAGGAUAGGUGGGAGGCUUUGAAACCGCGUCGCUAGAUGCGGUGGAGCCAACCUUGAAAUACCACCCUUGUAUGCGUGAUGUUCUAACCUAGGGCCCUUAUCGGGCUUGGGGACACUGUCUGGUGGGUAGUUUGACUGGGGCGGUCUCCUCCUAAAGAGUAACGGAGGAGCACGAAGGUUGGCUAAGUAUGGUCGGACAUCAUACGGUUAGUGCAAUGGCAUAAGCCAGCUUAACUGCGAGACAGACACGUCGAGCAGGUACGAAAGUAGGUCAUAGUGAUCCGGUGGUUCUGUAUGGAAGGGCCAUCGCUCAACGGAUAAAAGGUACUCCGGGGAUAACAGGCUGAUACCGCCCAAGAGUUCAUAUCGACGGCGGUGUUUGGCACCUCGAUGUCGGCUCAUCACAUCCUGGGGCUGAAGUCGGUCCCAAGGGUAUGGCUGUUCGCCAUUUAAAGUGGUACGCGAGCUGGGUUUAGAACGUCGUGAGACAGUUCGGUCCCUAUCUGCCGUGGGCGUUUGAGAAUUGAAGAGGGCUGCUCCUAGUACGAGAGGACCGGAGUGGACGAACCACUGGUGUUCGGGUUGUCAUGCCAAUGGCAUUGCCCGGUAGCUACGUUCGGAACUGAUAACCGCUGAAAGCAUCUAAGCGGGAAGCAGGCUUUGAGAUGAGUUCUCACUGGAGCUUUAAGCUCCCUAAAGGGUCGUUGGAGACUACAACGUUGAUAGGUUGGGUGUGGAAGUGCUGCGAGGCAUUGAGCUAACCAAUACUAAUUACCCGUGAGGCUUAACCAU
rnacentral:rRNA from 1 species